GACAAGAUGGCCGAGUUGGUUCAAGGCGCUAGACUUAAGAAUUUUACUCCAUAGAAAAUUCGGUAUUCUAGUAUCGAAAGAUGCGUGGGUUCGAAUCCCGCUCUUGUCA